rnacentral:sRNA from 1 species
UUAGGAAUACAAUUUGUGAGAUGAUAUUAUAACUGAAAGUUAACGCCGUGAUUGUUUGGUUGACGAAAACUUAACGAUAUUAUGCCUUAAAUAACCAAAUCAACGAAACUUGAUCAUUUUAUCAAAAGUCAAACUAAACUUUAUGAUUUAAAUGAUUUUUCGAAAGUUUAUGUUUUUUUCGUCUCAAAUUUAAAAAUUCGUACUUUUUUCGAUAUUUUUCCUAUUUAUUUUCUAAU